GAUGAACGCUGGCGGCGUGCUUUACGCAUGCAAGUCGAACGAGAAGGGGAGGCUUCGGCCGACCCGGAGAGUGGCGAACGGGUGAGUAACACGUGAGUGACCUGCCCCGAGGAGGGGGACAACCAUGGGAAACCAUGGCUAAUACCCCGUAGUCCUGGCCGUUUUGGAAGCGGUUAGGUAUAGCUCAGGCGCCUUGGGAGGGGCUCGCGGUCGAUUAGUUUGUUGGUGGGGUAACGGCCUACCAAGAUGACGAUCGAUAGCUGGUCUGAGAGGAUGAUCAGCCACACUGGGACUGAGACACGGCCCAGACUCCUAUGGGGGGCAGCAGCGAGGAAUAUUGGACAAUGGGCGCAAGCCUGAUCCAGCAACGCCG
rnacentral:rRNA from 1 species